rnacentral:rRNA from 1 species
UACGUAGGGUGCAAGCGUUAAUCGGAAUUACUGGGCGUAAAGCGUGCGCAGGCGGUUUUGUAAGUCUGACGUGAAAUCCCCGGGCUCAACCUGGGAAUUGCGUUGGAGACUGCAAGGCUGGAGUCUGGCAGAGGGGGGUAGAAUUCCACGUGUAGCAGUGAAAUGCGUAGAGAUGUUGAGGAACACCGAUGGCGAAGGCAGCCCCCUGGGUCAAGACUGACGCUCAUGCACGAAAGCGUGGGGAGCAAACAGG